rnacentral:rRNA from 1 species
AGAAUCAACGCUGGCGGCGUGCCUAACACAUGCAAGUCGAACGAGAAAGGGGAGCAAUCCCUGAGUAAAGUGGCGACCGGGUGAGUAACACGUGACUAACCUACCCUCGAGUGUGGAAUAACAUCGGGAAACCGAUGCUAAUACCGCAUAACAUCGGCGCUUUUAAGAGAUGCCGAUCAAAGGAGCAAUCCGCUUGAGGAGGGGGUCGCGGCUGAUUAGCUAGUUGGCGGGGUAACGGCCCACCAAGGCGAAGAUCGGUAGCCGGCCUGAGAGGGCGCACGGCCACACUGGAACUGAAACACGGUCCAGACUCCUACGGGAGGCAGCAGUGGGGAAUUUUGCGCAAUGGGGGAAACCCUGACGCAGCAACGCCGCGUGGAGGAUGAAGCCCCUUGGGGCGUAAACUCCUUUCGACCAAGACGAUAAUGACGGUACUGGUGGAAGAAGCACCGGCUAACUCUGUGCCAGCAGCCGC